GGCUCACUUUGGCAGCAAUGUACUAAAAUUGGAAUGAUACAGAGAACAUUAGCAGGGCCCCUUCUCAAGGAUGAAAUUAUGCAGCAUUCCAUAAUUUC
rnacentral:snRNA from 1 species